rnacentral:rRNA from 1 species
UACAUGGGGUGCAAACGUUGCUCGGAAUUAUUGGGCGUAAAGCGCGCGUAGGCGGUUAUCUAAGUCGGAUGUGAAAGCCCUCGGCUUAACUGAGGAAGUGCACCCGAAACUGGAUAGCUAGAGUACGAAAGAGGGUCGCGGAAUUCCCGGUGUAGAGGUGAAAUUCGUAGAUAUCGGGAGGAACACCGGUGGCGAAGGCGGGUCUCUGGGCCGAUAUUGACGCUGAGGAGCGAAAGCGUGGGGAGCGAACAGG